GCCAAAUUGAUGGUUUAUCCCAUUCUUGGUGAAUUUUUUUAAGGUGAAAACAGAAAUUUAAAUCCGGCCGGAUUUUCUCCAAAUCUGGCCGGAAGCCGGAUGCAGGAAAAUUCGUUAAAUCCGGCCGGAAUUCCGGCCGUAUUUGAAAUCCGGUGCACUCCUAGUUAAAUCUAUUUGACAAAUUAAUAUUCUGAAUCCUCAAUUAUGCACCAGUGCGCCACCCUUUCUUAACUUGUUAUGUGUGCACCAGAUGUGCAUAACAGAUUACUAUUGUAAAAUUUUGUGCACCAGAUUGUGCACCGUACAUGUCCGGUGCACAACACUUACAUUGAUUCCAUACUGGCAUAUAGGCUUUAAUAAUAUAGCAGAGUGCCAGAGUAAAAGCAUAUAAAUACUAUUACGGUUCGCAGCCCAUAUUAGCCUGCGCGCAGGCUAAGCCCAUAUAGGCUUUAAUAUAGCAGAGUGCCAGAGUAAAAGCAUAUAAAUACUACAGCAUACUAUUACAUGUUUUUGUCUUUCUGAAUUAGUCAAUCAGGAAGCUUAUGUACGAGUCAAAUCCAACCGCGAUCAGCCCCCCCCCCCCGGGCAACCCCAGGGCAUUUGACUUAACAUUACCGCCGUAUAGGCGGGAAUUUGACGGCCCGGUCGGGCAUUUGAUGGUCCCGUCGGGCAUUUGACCACUUGACAACAACUUGCUCAGCAGUUUUCCCUAAAAAUAUGUGUACACUCUAGCGUUCAGGAGUUUUC